rnacentral:tRNA from 1 species
GCCCCCGUUGUCUAAUGGUUAUGACGUCAGACUUCUAUGAUGUGUUCUAGAUUGUAAUCGAAUCUGGAGGUUGCGGGUUCGAGUCCCGCCGGGGGUU